rnacentral:rRNA from 1 species
GAUGAACGCUAGCGGCAGGCUUAACACAUGCAAGUCGAGGGGUAUUGGUUUUCGGACCAAGAGACCGGCGCACGGGUGCGUAACGCGUAUGCAAUCUACCUUUUGCAGAGGGAUAGCCCAGAGAAAUUUGGAUUAAUACCUCAUAGUAUAGUACCUUGGCAUCAAGGAACUAUUAAAGUCACAACGGCAAAAGAUGAGCAUGCGUCCCAUUAGCUAGUUGGUAAGGUAACGGCUUACCAAGGCGACGAUGGGUAGGGGUCCUGAGAGGGAGAUCCCCCACACUGGUACUGAGACACGGACCAGACUCCUACGGGAGGCAGCAGUGAGGAAUAUUGGACAAUGGGCGCAAGCCUGAUCCAGCCAUGCCGCGUGCAGGAUGACGGUCCUAUGGAUUGUAAACUGCUUUUAACAGGAAGAAACACUGGUUCGUGAACCAGCUUGACGGUACUGUAAGAAUAAGGAUCGGCUAACUCCGUGCCAGCAGCCGCGGUAAACUCG